rnacentral:rRNA from 1 species
UACGAAGGCAGCAGUGGGGAAUAUUGCACAAUGGGCGCAAGCCUGAUGCAGCCAUGCCGCGUGUAUGAAGAAGGCCUUCGGGUUGUAAAGUACUUUCAGUCGUGAGGAAGGUGUUAAGGUUAAUAACCUUAGCAAUUGACGUUAGCGACAGAAGAGGCACCGGCUAACUCCGUGCCAGCAGCCGCGGUAAUACGGAGGGUGCGAGCGUUAAUCGGAAUUACUGGGCGUAAAGGGCACGCAGGCGGUUAAUUAAGUUGGAUGUGAAAUCCCCGGGCUUAACCUGGGAAUGGCAUUCAAGACUGGUUAGCUAGAGUCUUGUAGAGGGGGUAGAAUUCCAUGUGUAGCGGUGAAAUGCGUAGAGAUGUGGAGGAAUACCGGUGGCGAAGGCGGCCCCUGGGACAAGACUGACGCUCAUGUGCGAAAGCGUGGGGAGCAAACAGGAUUUAGAUACC